rnacentral:rRNA from 1 species
AUUGAACGCUGGCGGCAUGCCUUACACAUGCAAGUCGAACGGCAGCGCGGGAGCAAUCCUGGCGGCGAGUGGCGAACGGGUGAGUAAUACAUCGGAACGUGCCCAAUCGUGGGGGAUAACGCAGCGAAAGCUGUGCUAAUACCGCAUACGAUCUACGGAUGAAAGCAGGGGAUCGCAAGACCUUGCGCGAAUGGAGCGGC